CGGGUGGCAGCAGCAGUGGGGAAUUUUGCGCAAUGGGGGCAACCCUGACGCAGCAAUACCGCGUGAGUGAAGAAGGCCUUUGGGUCGUAAAGCUCUUUUCUAAGGGAAGAUAGUGACGGUACCUUAGGAAUAAGCACCGGCUAACUCCGUGCCAGCAGCCGCGGUAAUACGGAGGGUGCGAGCGUUGUUCGGAUUUACUGGGCGUAAAGGGCACGUAGGCGGCCUAGCAAGUUAAGGGUGAAAUCCCGGGGCUCAACUCCGGAACUGCUCUUAAAACUGCUAAGCUAGAGAUAGUCAGAGGCGGGUGGAAUUCCAGGUGUAGAGGUGAAAUUCGUAGAUAUCUGGAGGAACACCGGUGGCGAAGGCGGCCCGCUGGGGCUAUUCUGACGCUGAGGUGCGAAAGCGUGGGGAGCGAACGGGAUUAGAUACCCCCGUAGUC
rnacentral:rRNA from 1 species